rnacentral:tRNA from 1 species
UAAAAGAUAAGCUAAGAAAGCUUACGGGUUCAUACCCCGUCGAUGAUAUAUUCUCUUUUAA